rnacentral:rRNA from 1 species
UCCUACGGGGGGCGGCAGUGGGGAAUAUUGCACAAUGGACGAAAGUCUGAUGCAGCCAUGCCGCGUGUGUGAAGAAGGCCUUCGGGUUGUAAAGCACUUUUAUCGGGAGCGAAAUACCAUUGGCUAAUAACCGGUGGGGCUGACGGUACCCGAGGAAUAAGCACCGGCUAACUUCGUGCCAGCAGCCGCGGUAAUACGAAGGGUGCAAGCGUUAAUCGGAAUUACUGGGCGUAAAGGGUGCGUAGGCGGUUAGUUAAGUCUGUUGUGAAAUCCCCGGGCUCAACCUGGGAAUGGCAAUGGAUACUGGCUAGCUAGAGUGUGUCAGAGGAUGGUGGAAUUUCCGGUGUAGCGGUGAAAUGCGUAGAGAUCGGAAGGAACAUCAGUGGCGAAGGCGGCCAUCUGGGACAACACUGACGCUGAAGCACGAAAGCGUGGGGAGCAAACAGGAUUAGAUACCCUGGUAGUUCACGCCCUAAACGAUGCGAACUGGAUGUUGGUCUCAACUCGGAGAUCAGUGUCGAAGCUAACGCGUUAAGUUCGCCGCCUGGGGAGUACGGUCGCAAGACUGAAACUCAAAGG